CCGGUAAUGGCUGAAAUCGGUUCAGUGGAAUACAUUGUCUUCGGUUGCAUAUAUAAGAACGCUUGUUCAGGGAUUUAACUCGUCAUCGACACACAUAUCACAGCCAUGCUGAGAGAAAACAACAUAUCGGCAGAGAGCCGGAUGGCAGUUCGACAGUGGCAGACAGCGAGACGGCGAAAUGUUUCGAAUCCGAGCACAGCAUCGAGUGUCAUCACCGCCUUCACCGUUGCUUCGCCAUCCGACCGGACCGAGCCAAGCUAGACGGAGUGAAUGAGUCAAGUCAGAUCUGAGUACCCACUCCUUGACCAUUCCUGGUCGUGUUUUAGUGUGACCCACUCGCCACCCCAUCCCACGGCAGUCCACACAUCCUCGCCACAUCGUUACAGGGCCUCAACGAGCUGUGUUAGCGAGGUUGGUACACUUCAUUCAAUAUUCUCCAGGGACAAAUUCUGAAAUGUAUAUUUUCUGGAAGCUAACGGGCCUGACAUGACUUGGAAGCACUAUUCUCAUAGUGGCCCCUUCAUGGUACGGAGGGGUUUGCAAUCAUAGCCCUCCUUUAAGGGCUAUGAUUGAUGUUGGACAAUCACAAAGCCCGACGAAAGCCCGACGAAUGAGCUAUGGUAGGCUACUAUGCUAGCAAUUAACCAUCAAGCGCCUGGCUAAACCUUGGCAUUCUUACGAAAUAGGUCGCUCUGCACCGACCAACAGCCAGACAGGACACGAGUGGAGAAGAAAAACGUCUCUAUUCCGUGUGCGUUUUGUUUAGAUAUCCCUCCAAGUUACAGAGGCCUGCCUAAGUUCUGCGUCUUCCGACUCGAAGUCGAGGCUUAAAAAUCGGCAUUACUUAAAAGGAGCGAGGAGCGAGCGAGCCUCCCUCCCAAAAAUUAAGCUGGAGAAGUUAGCGAUGUGGAAUCAUCCUUGUGGAAUCAGCAGCGCUUUAGGCUUUGGGUUCGUCGCUCGGCGGUCAAUUACUCAUCAGUAAGUAAGGUGAUCCUCAGCCUCUGCUCUGCCCUUCUCUCCCCCUGAUCAGCUCCAUAUGGGAACCUCUGCCCCGACCACUAUAACUAUAUUUCUAACACAUAAAUGCUUCUGAUUGUUAUUCGAGGCCCGGCCAAAACUCAAUAGCUUAAUCUUUGCGGCGUGAUGAGAACUGGAGCAAUAUUCAUCCAUAUCAUACCGUUAGUUAUAUUCUCUCUCCGAGUCUCUGUGAGUGGCCGUAUAAAAAACACAUGCAGAGGGAGACAUGGUUGCGGUAUUAAGUAUGUGAUGACAAAUGGCUCACACUGAAUCUGGAUUGCCUCACGGUAUAUAAGAGGCGAGCAUGUAUUUCUGAGAGCAAACGAAAGUCAGGCAAUAUCUUCCAGGACUUUUCAACACGAAGUGGAGCCAUGAAACCUUAGCAGAUAGAGUGGGGCAGGGGCCAGGUCAGUUACUACAGGAAUAGGAGAGACCUCAGAUCUCUGCUUAGCACACGUCAGGCAGGACCAUGGCAUACACUCUUAGAAAAAGCUACUAGAACCCAAAAGGAUUCUUUGUCUGUCCCCAUAGGAGAACCCUUUGAAGAACCCGUUUUGGUUCCAGUUAGAUCCCUUUUGAGUUCCUUGUAGAACCCUUUACACAGAGGGCUCUACAUGGAACCCAAAAUAGUUCUACCUGGGACCAAAAGGGGUUCUACCUGGAACCAAAAAGGGUUCUCCUAUGGGGAUAGAUUAAGAACCCUUUUGGAACCCUUUUUUCUAAGAGUGUACUGGCUGGCUUGGUUUUCAGUGGGCUGGUAGCUGGGGACCAUGGCAGAGAGAACCGGGCUGGGGCCAGGACAGUUACUGCACCAGCAGCUAUAGUGUCUUCAGGGAUGGCUGGGCCUUCAGGGAUCUAUUGGCUGGGUGCUUGGGCUUGGGUAAAGGACUGGGGAUUGAGUAUAGAGGCUGGGGCCAGGACAAUUAGAGCAGCAGUAGCAGCAGGGGCUGGGGCCAGGGCCAUAGGACCUGCUGGCUGGCUGGGUCUUCAGCAGUCAGGUGGCUGGCGAUGGAAUUGGGGCUGGGGCUCUGGCUGAAACUACAGGAGUGGUGGUGGUUGGGUCUUUAGGAGUCUGGGUUUGUGUGGCCUGGCCAUAUUAGAGAACCAGAGGCCUGGGUCCAGGGAUUCUCUUACCUAGCCCUACCCCAAACCUCUAAAUCCCCACCCCCCUCAACCUGCCAGCGAAAACAAGCAGGCGUCUCCAUUUCACACACACAUCCCUCGGCCCGUAACGACCACUCAUAACAUUGUCCCGGGAAUGGCGUCUGAGCCCGUGGCAUUCAACAAACGUUAUGUUUCCCUCCAAAUUGAACGAGACAAGAAAAAACAAAUGCAAGUGGUCGGGCCGGGGGGAGAGAACGUGUUUUGACAUGAUGUCACUUAACAGCAAAGUGUAACGGUGACAAUAAACUCUCGUUCCGGCCCGGCCGCACCGGCAAGUCCGCCCGCCACCGUGUUGACUGAAGUAUUUAGGAUAUAAAUAUAAAUGUAGUGGAAACCACAUGCUGGCAUUCUGCUCUAGCCAGAUGUUGACCAUGGGAAAAUAGCAUCACAAUGGAAACAAGGCCUCUUGGACAUUAAAACGCAAUUAACUCCAACCAUAUCUUUACGUGUAAAAGUGUGCAAUUCAGCCUUACGUCAGACUUCAGUCAGACGGAUGGCAUAUCGUCCCUACAACAUAUAGAAUCAUUCAGAAACAGAGCCAAUACGCAUUUAUGAGGCCUUCCCACCAAGACAUUACACAGCAUUGUCUAAGAAAACGGAAUGAAAGAAAGAGAAGCGGUACUCAGGUAAUACUGUAAUUAAUGUAUGUGGUCAUGAUUGGGGAUGAAGUUCGUCAUUAAUUUUGGGAGGCCUACAUUAUAAUAAAGUGCAGUAAAGAAUAUGUUACUUCUUAGCGUAGUACUCAGCAGAUGAAAGACCUUACUGUCAGUGAAACGGAGAGAAGCCAGAGAGAGAUAGAGAGAAAAGGGUACUUUAAGCUAUGUUAAACGAUUUUUCUCCUAGUAUUUCAUGCCACAAUGACCGCUCCUGAAUGUGUGUGUGUGUGUCGGCAGUUUGCUGUCUCACUCAUUCUCGCUGGGUGACCUGUUGCAUGCCUCCACCUCUUUUAUUAAAUCACUUGUGAUUACAACCAAUAAAAACCUACCCAGAGAAACUCAGGAUAAAAUGUCCUAUUUUAUUUCCUUAACCCUGCUCUUGACCUGGGAGUGUAAUUAACAGGUAUUAUGAGAAAAAGGAAAAUUGUGGGUAAUUAUCAUGAUAAUUACAGGGGACAUUCCAAGGACGAGCUGAGACUGCCAGAUACUGUGUGUUGGUGUGUUUCCCCCCUCCUCCCUUCACAGGCUCUUAAUGUUAUGAUAGAGUCAUUACACACUCUGAGAAAACAUAUUUAGCAGGCCCACCUCAGUAUUUCAGACAGGUGCUUGUGUGUUAAAUCGCAACCCAGGAUUCACAGUGUGUAAGAGCCAGCAUGUAUGCUUAUGCUCAAUCACCUAACUGGGCAUGCCUGGGUUGCUACUUCUGCCCUGAGUUGUGUGUGUGUGUGUGUGUGUGUGUGUGUGUGUGUGUGUGUGUGUGUGUGUGUGUGUGUGUGUGUGUGUGUGUGUGUGUGUGUGUGUGUGUGUGUGUGUGUGUGUGUGUGUGUGUG